CAUGAAUUGUUGAUGAAUGGUGAAGAUCCUAGGUCUCUACGAUUUACGGUUUCUGAGUUUUGGUGGUCCACCGACACCGGUUAAUUUUCAAAGGGGCAUAACCCUACCAAUGAGUCGUUGAAUCUUUUCGAAUCAAAUGUAACGAAGAACCGGGGUCUGGUCCUGAACAAAUUUCACCCUUCGUUUUUUUUCUAUCUAUUACGGUUACGGUGUUGGAACGAUAACAAGGUUUUUUGGUUUCGGAGGGAUUACUCCGAACCGACAAAAUAUUUCGACUAACAGGGUGAGUUCCGGAUAGGUAUUCAUGACACCGAUACAAAGUGAGAACAUGAAAGCGACACGUCUUACGGUUUAGGCUGCUAACUUCGUCAAAGUUUGGCGGAAAAAGAAUAAUAAUAAACAGAAGAAAUAC
rnacentral:lncRNA from 1 species